AUUGAACGCUGGCGGCAGGCUUAACACAUGCAAGUCGAACGAUGAAACUCUAGCUUGCUAGAGAUGAUUAGUGGCGGACGGGUGAGUAACAUUUAGGAAUCUGCCUAGUAGUGGGGGAUAGCUCGGGGAAACUCGAAUUAAUACCGCAUACGACCUACGGGUGAAAGGGGGCGCAAGCUCUUGCUAUUAGAUGAGCCUAAAUCAGAUUAGCUAGUUGGUGGGGUAAAGGCCUACCAAGGCGACGAUCUGUAACUGGUCUGAGAGGAUGAUCAGUCACACCGGAACUGAGACACGGUCCGGACUCCUACGGGAGGCAGCAGUGGGGAAUAUUGGACAAUGGGGGCAACCCUGAUCCAGCCAUGCCGCGUGUGUGAAGAAGGCCUUUUGGUUGUAAAGCACUUUAAGCAGGGAGGAGAGGCUAAUGGUUAAUACCCAUUAGAUUAGACGUUACCUGCAGAAUAAGCACCGGCUAACUCUGUG
rnacentral:rRNA from 1 species